AAUGGUAAUGUCUUAGUGUCGAUGAUUACAUUGAGAAUGGUAAUGUCUUAGUGUCAAUGACCAUUCUCAAUGUAAUCAUCGAAACUAAGACAUUACCAUUC
rnacentral:pre_miRNA from 1 species